AUGUCUGGGAAACUGCCUGAUGGAGGGGGAUAACUACUGGAAACGGUAGCUAAUACCGCAUAACGUCGCAAGACCAAAGAGGGGGACCUUCGGGCCUCUUGCCAUCGGAUGUGCCCAGAUGGGAUUAGCUAGUAGGUGGGGUAACGGCUCACCUAGGCGACGAUCCCUAGCUGGUCUGAGAGGAUGACCAGCCACACUGGAACUGAGACACGGUCCAGACUCCUACGGGAGGCAGCAGUGGGGAAUAUUGCACAAUGGGCGCAAGCCUGAUGCAGCCAUGCCGCGUGUAUGAAGAAGGCCUUCGGGUUGUAAAGUACUUUCAGCGGGGAGGAAGGGAGUAAAGUUAAUACCUUUGCUCAUUGACGUUACCCGCAGAAGAAGCACCGGCUAACUCCGUGCCAGCAGCCGCGGUAAUACGGAGGGUGCAAGCGUUAAUCGGAAUUACUGGGCGUAAAGCGCACGCAGGCGGUUUGUUAAGUCAGAUGUGAAAUCCCCGGGCUCAACCUGGGAACUGCAUCUGAUACUGGCAAGCUUGAGUCUCGUAGAGGGGGGUAGAAUUCCAGGUGUAGCGGUGAAAUGCGUAGAGAUCUGGAGGAAUACCGGUGGCGAAGGCGGCCCCCUGGACGAAGACUGACGCUCAGGUGCGAAAGCGUGGGGAGCAAACAGGAUU
rnacentral:rRNA from 1 species